AGGCAAAAAGCUCUCUCGGAGGAACUUCACUGAGCGAGGUUCAACUCGGGCAGCGCUCCCGCCUCGGCUGCGCGCGGUACGCUCGGAGAGAAGGCGAACUUUCAUUUUCACGCCGCAUCCUCCCCUCCGCCCCAAGCUGUGACUGAUCGUAACAUACCUGAUGGCCGGCCACCGCUACAGUGCAAAACACCAAGCUUUUGGGCUCAAAAAGCCUAGACCAUCAUGGCUACGAAAACUACUGCUGCUCAGAGACCAUGUAAUUCUGAAGUUCCUUAAGGAAAAAAGCAGUGCAACAUCAGAACAGUGGCCAAGUGGUCUUCUCCACAGCAGCCAUGAUCUUCAAUCUUGAACCCAAGAAGACUCAUCAAAUGCCUAAGGAAAGACAGUAUGGAGUUGGAAGAGAAGCAUGGAUCUCCAUGAGGGGCAGUCAGUUAUAGUCAUGGUCAGCAUGCUUGGUUGGUCUGCCACUUGACACGUGUAGCUCAGAGCUGGCCACAAUGUGAGCUGCUUCCUGUUCUCCUAAACAUCAGAAGCUGAAAUUUAGAGAAAUCUGUUUAGAAGAGACUGGGAAAACAGCCAGGCUAGCUCAGUACAAGUGUGUUGGUGGCACCUGUAAGCAUGCAGGUGUGUGGAAGAACAGGUCCUGUUCUCGCUGUUGUUACUCCCACAUAGGCAGACUCUGUAAUUGAUUAUGUGUGGGUAGGGCCCUAUUGAAAUUCAGGAGAUUCUGCAGUAGUGCGGGGUUCUUUUUGUGACAGUUCAGUUGCAAGAUCAGGACCCUACUGUGACUCCUUACUGUGCAUUCUGUCACUGUCUCAUUGGUUGUACUGGAACCUGCCUGUUGGGAUAAUUACCAAAUACUAUAUUCCUCAAAACUUCUUAAUGGCACUGAGGCUUUGUGGAUAGUUGGUCACAUGAUGAGAAAAUUCAGCUGUAAGUACAUUAAAAUGAUUGACUUUUUCAAUAGUUUGUCUUUACUGAUGUUGGCAAACUAAUAGUGAUAAAAAUGUGAAUCAAGAGGUUUGACUUAUGUCAAAUUACUUCAGUUCUUUUUAGAAAAUAUAUAGAGUAUGCCCAUUAAGGAUCUUAUUAUUCUUAGGUAAUUCACCAUGGGACCCUGAAGUUCUUCCCUACUGCAAUUAGAUUCUGCAGAUCACAUGGCUGGCAGACACAGAAAUAAUUUCACAAAUGAAAAUGGAAGAAGCAAAAUCCAUGAAGAUUGUGUUGAAGAAUAAUACUGAAUAAAAGCAAGUCCUAAGACCACUGUCUAUGAAUUGGAUCAUUUGUUUGAAAAGACAGUUGAAGAAACAGUGAACAAUAAUGGUAAUUGAGAAUGUAGAAAAGUGUCUGAAAAUAUGAAGAGUUCCAGAUUCUAUACCGUUGUUCUGCUCACUGGAGGUAGCCGAAGGUAGCCAAGAUCCUUUCCUACUCGCAGGCUGAGAAUUUGCCUGCUUUGGGAAGUCACAGUCACCCUAACGCUGGUCUGGCCUUCACCAACAGCUCAGUCCUCUGUGCAGGUUUGAGACUGGCAUCAUAUGAAGAUCAUCAGUAAGGAUAAAGCAUGCUACGUGUUCAUGCAAGCAGUGCUAUUAUUCUGCUUGGUUUUCUGGUCAAGAAGCUAAUUUCAGCAUUGCCAGUGCCCUUUUUUCUUGAAUUCUAGUUCUCUCUAGCACAUGCUCUUCAGGUCUACUUUGCUGAGCUAUUGUGAUAGUUUGAUUUUUAUGAUUUGCAUCAAGUGUGAAGCUUUCAAAGCCAUGUGUCAAAGACACUCGAGCCCGUGAAAGCAGUGGGCGUGCAGGCAGCUGCGGCAGCCCGGAGAUCUCCCUUUUCUCCCGGUCUCCUCUGAACAUCGCCGUUAACGCGCUGGCAGUGCUGGCGAUCCGGCCCCAGCUGCUGCUGCUACUGCUGGUCAUGUGAGUGGCUCAGCAAUGUGUGACACUACAAAAACUGUUGUGUUUUCCUUCUCGACAGAUCGCAGACUACUCAUUUUCUCUGGGGUUCAUGGAGGUGACAAGGAUGGACUCCCAAGGCAUGUCUGCAAUGGUUGUUUGAAACAAGAAACAGAUACCCUCUUGCUGUCAUUCAUCUCUGAUCACUGGGAAUCUGAGCUUGAAGGAAGGUGAAAGAAAACUCCUACCGAAAACUGGGAAUCAUUUGUCUCCUGUAUAUUUGUGGUCACCUGAUGGUAAUGGAUGCAAAGACCCUGUGCAGCAGCAGUGCCUCUCACAGGGAAUACCAGGAGGGAAACUGGAAGUAAUCAAAGCACACAGAAUUUGCUCUUCUUGGUGGAGGUCUCAUGUAGGCAGCACUUAAAUGACACUUUAUGUUUCUGGAUAAGGUGAAGAGGGAGCCUUAUGUGAGCAGGGUUUGCUGCUCUUACUUUCCCAAAGGCACCCAGGUGGAAAUGCCCACUUUGGCCUAAGCUGCCCUUUGCAGACAGAUGCACAGACAAAUGCUGGCCAAAGGUCUCAGUGCAGGUAAGUCACCCUAACCCUGCUCCUUCUCUUGCAGUGCAAUCCCACAUCUUUGGACAUCGACUUUUUCCCAUUCCUACCUACCACUGCUUCAGGACCAUGUUUCUUGGGGAAUGGGGAAAUCCAGGUCCUGCUGAGGUAUGAAGAAAAAAGGGAUUUUGAUUUAUAUGGUACAGGGUAUGGGCUUCUCUCUCUCUGAUGCUGGGCCUUCAUUUCAGGUUACCAGAGCAAAGACAUGAUUGCUGCAGAUCCUGGUGGAGUCCCAGGACUGCGCUGACAGCUUUUCCAGAAAAGUUUUGUUGCUUUUUCUUGUAGUCCUAGAAGCUGACCACACAGUAACCCUGGCUGUGAAUAUUUUUUUUGAAAAAUAAAUGGGCUCCAGCAGGGUAAAUAAAAGCUUGAAAAGUCAAUGAUCCUCUUUCCACCCCACCUAGGUUUGUAGAAAGCACCAAAAAAGAACACAAUUACAGUUAAUUCUUGAGAUUUCUUUAGGAAGUAGAUUUCAGGAGUCUGACAAACACCAAUCUGCAUCUGGAUGCAGUGGACUUACUGGCUUUCCUCCUUAACUUUUAAAUCUUAUUGAACUGGGAAGGUUGCCUGCCAGGUGUGGGUGGCAAAGCUCUGAAAUAUUGAUUUUCAGUCUGUUGGUAUUAAAAGCAAAACACUUCUUUCAUGUCCCCAGACACUUUAUCAGAACCCACAGUGGCUUGCAGGGUAUUUCUGUGCAUCGUGGCAGUGAAGACAAUAGAACAUCCUGUGAAGUAACAGACUUAGCAAAACACCAAAGAGAAAAUUGUGAAAAACACACUUCUCUGUUCCUUUUUUUUAACAAAGACUUUUGGUUAGAAACACAAAUAUACUGCAUCUGAAAUGGCUUUCUGAAAUGGCUUUCUCUUGUGAUUUGGCUUCUUUUUAAUCAUCAAACCAUUUAAAGUUCCACUCCCCUCCCUCAAACCCUGUUGAAGCUUGAUGUGGGAGAACACAGGCUUUUUUCCCUACUGCUUUCAGUCACUGUCUGACAUAUUCUGAAUGUGCCUUGAUGUGUCUGCUGCUUUUAAUAUUGCUGGCUAACAAAGAGCACUAGAUUUGUUUCCUCCUACUGACACACAUAUUUUUUGUUUCUGUGGAAAAAUAUUGCCGUAUUUUGCAGGGGGAUUAUAUGGGAGACCAAUGUACAAACCUCCAUAAAGUCACUGCUUGAUGCUGAUUUAGUCAAUCAGUUUUACUAAGGCAUUGCAUACUCAUAGACUGGGACAUCUUGCAUGCCAAGUGUUGUGCUAGUAAACCUUGAUGCUUGCAAGCACAAGUCUUGUUCUUGCAGUUGUGACUUUGAAGUCAGUGGAAAUUUUAUUUCUUCUCUUAAAUUUAUUAGUGCCUGUCUCCAGUGCUCUUUGGGACACAGCAGUACCAGAAGUGUAGUCUCAGAAAUGGGACUUGGUAUUGAGGUGCUGCAGCCUACACAAAAAAAAAAAAAAGACAUUUUUUUGUAGUUUUUUUGUGGGAUGCAUAAUGCCUACACCAGGAUGAGAAACAUCUUUCUACCAACAUACACCUCCCCUGUGUUUUGGCACAUGCAACUUCCUUUGCUACUGCCUGGCCUAGGUCCAUGUUCAGUCUUGCUAUAUUUAUGUAUUUAAAGUUUAUUGCAUCUCUCUCAAAGCUGGCUGAAUUCUGUUGGUUAUGGGGGACAUGCUUCCUUCAAUGUCUUCUAAGUUUAUGGCUGCAGUACCAGCAUUUUAAUAGGUUUGGGAAUGGACGAUGCUCUAUGAGGAGAAUGAUCUGCCAGCAGUUCAGGGGAGGUAUUGAUCAGCCACAUUGCCCACUUAUGCAGACUUUGCUGGGGUAUCAGUAUCAAAACAGGAAACGAUGUGAGAAAUGUUAAUGAAACUUGACAACAGCAGCUCAAAAGGUGUUUGAUCCACCAUUUGAGUGUACAUAACUAUUACAGGAUGAGGAAACAGGAAAUACACUGAGGGGGAGAAGAUAAGAACAGAGAACUGUAAAAAGAAUAAAAAUACUGAACUUGAAAAAUUCCAAGUCACCUUUUCUAAGUCAGCUGGCAUGCACGAGGCAUUUGUCACAGCACAUAGCUCCUCAUUUAGGCAUUGUGCAUAUAAAACCCAAGAAGCCCAAACUGAGAUCCUUCUGCAAUAAUUUUUUACCAUCCCAGUGAUUGUGAGACCAAGUUAAUGCCAAAAAGCAAAACUACAAAUGAAAAAUAAAAAACAACCCAACCCAGCCCCCAAACUUAUUUGCCAGCAAGGGUUUCAAAAUUUUCAAAACCAAAUCGUCUCUGUGGUUCCUGUUUCUUCUGAAUCUGCAUUUGCCUACAGCUUCAAUUAAAUAAAUACCACAGUGCUAUUCCUGUUCAGGAGUAUUGUCAUUUCAUGAUGACUUUUUUCUCUCCUCAGAUCCCCUGCACACCACCCCACAUUUUUCCAUAAGUAACUGAGUCAGGAAGGAAAAAACCAAGAAGAGCACAUACCCUCUGUUCUCCUGCUGUGUUUUAUGGCAGUAGGUUCUCUGCUUUCUUCUUGUCAAGUUCCCUACUAAUCCACUCCAAAGUGUUACCCAAUGGAGUCUAGAAAAAUGUGUUAAUUUGAAAGAAAUGUUCAGAUGGGAGGAGAGGAGGGAAAUGGAUUUGGAUGUAAGAACAGCAAUUGCUUCCCUAAUAUCCCUUUUAUUAACAGCACUCAAAGCACUUUGAACACAUAAAGUCACCAGUCACAGUUUUUAGACAAAGAAAUUUGGCUCCAGAGUUGAUGCUUGGUACUUAGUAAAUUAAUUGUGGAGUUCAGGUCUGCUGAUUCUAAGCCUCCAGUCCAGGUCCAUUGGAUGAUACAAUUUCCUGUUAGAAUUACUCUGAAAGGAGCCAUUUUCUAAGGUGCAGGACACCCACUAGGUCCUUAAAGUGCCCUUUGAACUCCGGAAAAUAGGGGCACUGGUUACAGAUCACAUACUUCCUUCUAGUCCUGCACAGUCUGACGGGGCUUUGUCCUCUCAUGGGAGAGGACAGAGAGGAGAUGCCACUGCGGAAUGAAGGCAAGGAAAGAAGGAAUGACCUGUGGAUCAAGAACAAGAUCUUCCAAGGUGUGGAAGCAGGGCAGAUUGCUAAGUGUUUUCUGAUUCUUGGGGCCUAUUUUUUUUAGUCUUAAAAGUGCUCCUCCCUUUGGGCCAUGAUAUCAUUGCCUGGCAUUCCAUGAAUUUCCUCCAAAGUUCUUUCACGUCCUUCUAUGCUAGAGAUGAAUAUGAAUAUUCUCCUAAGUGGAGUGAAAUACCACCUGUACAUUGACCUGUCAUGCUGGAGACAGUGUGGCUGGUGAUGAGUCUCCUUUUCAUCAUCUCCCAUAGGCAGGAAAGAUAAAACAGUCACCUAUUAUGAAACAGGCUUUUUAUAGAAAAUGUUUUCCCUCUGACACUGUCUUCUCAUGUGUGAUUAACUAUUCUUUGGGUAGUGAUAAUUGAAAUAAAGUAAACAUGUUGCUGAUGUAAUAUCAUGAUGUCUUUCUUUAAGACUGACUGAAAGUGUUGAGAGCACUCCCACUAAUCUCUUUUUUGAAAAGCAUAGAGAGCUAUAUCUAGUUUGACUAAUGAGUCAUCUUUCACCCUUCUGGUCCAUUUCAUGGGUUUCCAGCUUACUUCACAAUGUCUAUACUUUUCUGACCACUUACUCACUAUGAACCUGGGCAAAAAGGGUUUGUGGGUGCCUUGGGAAGACACUGGGAACUGAGAAAUGUCCUUAACACUGUGUGUCCUGAUGGGCUCUUAGGGGGAAGCCUUGUUGGUUGAUUUAGGAAAGAUAUAAAAAGGCUGAGUGCAAGUAGGUUCCAUGCCAGCGGAAUGGAGGAGUCACUGGUGCUGGGAGCAAGAGGAAAAGGUUGGUGUGGAGUAACAAGAGGUAAGGUGUGGAGGGCGAGCGAUGACACAUGCAGGAUGCAGGGUGAGGUAAUUCUUUCCAGUUGUCCUUGGUCCUCCUUUUUUAUCUUGGUGCUUUCCCAGUAGCAGUCUCUUCUUUGAAACUCUUUUCCUCCUU